GCGCCCCGCUCGGGCGGCAACGGCCGGGCCCCGAAGCGGACGUAGCCGGGGGGGUCUUGUCCCUUUUGGCGCCCCGUAGCAUGGUGUCCUUUGACCCGCCGCGGCGGGGUGACAGGUCGGGCGGCCAUCUUGUGGCGGCGGUGGCGGCGGCGGGUUGUUGUUGCUGAGGGCCCGUCCCCGCGGGCGGCCCCGCCGGCGCCAUGUCCUCGUUCUCCGAGUCGGCGCUGGAGAAGAAGCUGUCGGAGCUCAGCAACUCGCAGCAGAGCGUGCAGACGCUGUCGCUGUGGCUCAUCCACCACCGCAAGCACGCGGGGCCCAUCGUCUCCGUGUGGCACCGGGAGCUCCGCAAGGCAAAAUCAAGUAGGAAGCUUACGUUCCUAUAUUUAGCAAAUGAUGUCAUCCAGAACAGUAAGAGGAAGGGUCCCGAAUUCACUAGGGAAUUUGAAUCAGUUCUGGUGGACGCUUUUUCUCAUGUUGCCAGAGAGGCAGAUGAGGGCUGCAAAAAGCCCUUAGAACGAUUGCUUAACAUCUGGCAAGAAAGGAGUGUGUAUGGCGGCGAGUUCAUACAGCAGCUGAAACUUUCUAUGGAGGACUCGAAUAGCCCUCAACCCAAAGUUACAGAGGAGAAGAAGUCUUUGAAGCGGACAUUUCAGCAGAUCCAAGAGGAAGAAGAUGAUGAUUACCCUGGGAGCUACUCACCCCAGGACCCCACUGCUGGACCAUUGCUGACUGAGGACUUGAUCAAAGCCCUUCAGGAUCUGGAAAAUGCAGCAUCAGGAGAUGCAACAGUACGGCAGAAAAUUGCUUCAUUGCCACAGGAAGUUCAAGAUGUGUCGCUACUGGAGAAGAUUACAGACAAAGAGGCAGCAGAACGUCUUUCGAAGACUGUGGAUGAAGCAUGUUUGUUACUAGCAGAAUACAAUGGGCGACUGGCGGCAGAGCUGGAAGAUCGGCGCCAGCUGGCACGCAUGCUGAUUGAAUACACGCAGAACCAGAAGGAUGUAUUGACAGAGAAAGAGAAAAAGCUAGAAACUCCAUGUUGCUUUGGCACGCCCUGAAUUUUGCUCGGUUUAAAGCUGUAGUUUCAACGUGCAGCAGCUGCUUGAAGUAGUCUUCACUUUGAAGAGCUCUGUCGCUGUGAAGCAUCACUUGAGCCUGACAAAUUGACAGUUGCUCUUUAACUGCUUGCAAACCAAACUAAUGCAUAAUUCUCCUAGAUCAUCAUGGCAUCAAAGCAGACUCCUCCACUGGACGAUCUUCUGUUUGGAGGGCAGAAGGUUUAGAAGGCAAAUCAAUCCGUAAUUAAUCCAAGUUGCACUGAGGCACAUGUGUAAAUAGCUGCAUCCUCUAAUUAGAGGUGGGAGCCAGGAAUCUGACACCGAAACAGUUCUUGGUGCCUCUGUACUACACUGUCUGCAACCUCGCAGUCAAACGUAUUUGCCGUUGAGAAGAGUGUGUGAAAGCAAACAUCACAUGGAAGUAUGGUAUGUGGACCAGGGCAUGUAUGAUGCUAUCAUGAGGCUCUUCUGUCUAGUUGGCUUACCUGAGGGCUCCUUAAGAUGAUUUUAGAGCAGACCCACCUCAUAUCUAACAUACCUAUCGGGCUUGGAGUUAGAGAAUGUCCAUAAAACAUUUUCCUGGUGUUCAAAUUGUAUACCAGCUUAGAAAAUCCUGACCGAAAUUCAGGGCUACUUUCAUGACCAUGAAAAGCAUUUGGGAAAUUGGGCACCCUCUUCCAGGGAGUGAGGAAAAAACCCAUUCGACUCCCUUCACAGUGAAAAUUCAUCCUUUCCUGGCAGCCUUAAAAACUAAGGGAAGACUUUGAAAGAUGCCAGCAGCAGGUAGGUGCUAGGCUAUCUCCCCUUCGAGUUAAAGUAACAAAGUAAAGAAACUUUUGUUUUAUUCAAGACUCUGUCUUCUACUCUUCUGUAUGCCCUGCGGUGCUGGAGGAUGGUACUUGGGCCCAGCGUAGGCUGUAAUUAGCUUUUCCCCGUUGCUAACCCUGAGCAUGCAGGGCUGUUGUGAAAAGCCACUGUAAAACGAGCAGCAAUAACGUCCUCAAAGGGUAAAGCAGCCUGCAGCUGCCCUUGUGCUUUAGAGAGGGGGUGGGCAAAGGAGAUCUGGGCUUUGGUCCCUUCAAUACAAUGGCAGGAUGGGGCAUGUGUAAAUCACGGAGCAUGAGUGUGUGUCCUGGAAAGGAGGCAGACUCAAUGCUUCGCCUGCCCAAACCUCUGGCCCCCUCUCUUCUCUGACCACCCGGUAGUCUAGCCAUGACCGGAUUGCACACAAAACAUGCAUGCAUCUACAUAGCUCAGUCAGCAUCUUGAGACUUUAGUAAACUUUACUCCAGUGGCCAGAUGCAUUUCAAAGUGCCCCUCCCUACUGCCCCUUGGCCCUGAAAUACUUAUUUCAGGCAUUGCGACCUUGCAUGUGACGGGUCCCAACCAGUUGCUUUUCACAGUUGAAUCCGAUCCUGGUUAUAUAGUCUAUUAAAACGAGCACCAUUUUCAACAUUGCUUGUGCUGCCAAUGCCAAACCUAGGUAGUGCCAUGUGAUAGAUGAGGAGCAUCCCUAGCUGCAUUCAAGUCGAGGAUAAGACUUGGACUCUGAAGGGGAAAUCUCCUUUCAUGCUGGCAAACAAGUGAUGUCAUUUUCAAAAAUAUGGCCCCAAAAGUCAAGGCAGAUCUCAAGAUCCUAGGACAGUCGGGCUGGAGGGGCCUCGCGUAACUAGUGCAGCCCCCUGCUCGAGGCAGAAUCGUCCCGGACUCGACCAUCCCAGCCAAGCGUCUGUCCAACCUGCUCUUGAAAACUCCCCAGGAUGGAGAUCCCACCACUUCUCUUGGCAGCCUGCUCCAGUGCUUGACCGCCCGUGUGCUCAGUUCCUCCUAAUCUCCAACCUCAGCUUCCCCCUCUGAAUCUUGAGGCCAUUGCUCCUCUCCCUGUCCCCUUGAGGAAAGCCCAUCUCCAUCUUCUCUGCCAUUGCCCUUCAGGUAUAUGAAGACUUAUCAAGUGCCCUGUCUUGCAAGGGUGUAGUUAAGACUCUUGUAUAGUUUUAUUUUUUUCUUUUCUUUUAAUCUUUGUUAAAAAAAAAAUUUUUAGCUUUUAAUGUUGAAAAAUGUGUGACAUCCUGUCUGCAGGGAGCUGAAAUUUAUUUCCCUAAUUUGUGUGCCAGUACUCUUGAUAUUGCCACAGCUCAGUGAAUAACUGAUACUUUAUUGCUGCUCCCCUGCACAGAGGGAAGGCAUAAACAAUGAGCUUUAAUGAAAGUGCAGUUCUUCUCUGAACAGUGACUUUGUAAAACUUGCAUUUUCUUGAACACGGUGUGUUCAAUUACACUUGCUUCAGUGAGCAAAAUAAAUUGUUCCUGCUCCUUUCUUCUGCUACCCUCUACCACUCAAUGGGAGGUAGAAAGGGUCUCUUCUGGCCUGGGCAGAAACAGAGCCCGUUUUGGAGUUGGCUUUUAAUAGCAUGUCUCUUGAACCCAUCCAGUACUCCUAACACAAGAACUGCAGCUGCCCAAUAACAUUAAUCUAAUCAAAAACAUUCAUUAAAUCCUUUGGCGCAGUAUCUACAAAUAGUUUUCAUUCUUCCAGCUCCAAAGGCAGAAUUGUCUGCCUCUCUCUCGUGAUGUUAGCGACGAAGAAUAGUGUUUGAUAUCCAAACAGGAGCUAGCGUUUGGAAAGCUCUGCUCUACUUCAGAAGCGAAAAAAUAUUGGAGAUGGAAAUCACUGAGAUGCAGCAACCGUGCAACUGUCAGUGGGAUCUUUGUGCGUGUUUCUAAACUUAAACGGCUGGUUUCGGCAUCUGAGGAAAGCUGUGGUGGACCACGUUUAAGAAAACACAAAAGAAGUCCAGAGUUUCUCUUUUGGAUGGCAAAUGAAUUAUUAAGGCAGUGAAAUCCUGCCUCGCGAUCUGCAUAAGCGUCCCCUCCAGCACAGUGCUCUGGUUGUAAGAUUUGUGAUUUGACUUGAGUUGAGUGGCCUUGAAGGCUGCGGGGUUUAUUUAGCCCUGGGUUUGCAAUUCAACCCCCUUUUUCCCUUUAGAAGAGAGAAGCCACUAUGGACAGGGAUGCUCGUUCCCUCAUGGAUGACUCCAAUAAAGAAGAGCUGCAGGAGGUCCAGCUCAAUAAACGUGAAUGGUGCAGGACUCGCUGCUGCUGGGGGUCGUUGUGUUAAUCAUCUUUGGAGUUGUCCACACAGUACGGGCCAAUAGCUCCUCAUCACCUUUCCACUAAAGGAUGGUUUUCUGAUGACAAUGAAGAUGCAACAGUGAAGUGUCACGGAGGUGAGACAACCACCCCGGCAUCUGCCAGGUAGCUGGAAGUGAUGGACUCCCCGGUUAGUGCGCGGCUUGGCUGCCUCUCAUAUCCCCUUGCAUCUCUAGAAGCUGCUGAAUCUGGCAUAGAGCAGACCAGGGCAUUUCCAGGGUAGUAUGCAAUGCCACACUGCAGCAUGCUCCAGGGAGAAGAGCUCUGAAGACAUCUCUUUUCUACAGUGCCACUUUUCAGAAGGUACUGGAUUUUGGGGAGCAUUUUUCCCAGAGAGGGAAACCACUUUGAAUUUGCUUCUUGCAUGUGCACAUAUGGACUCGUGGGGAAAUGGGCCUAUAACUGGACACUGAUGAUGCCUUGAAACACUGUUCUGUGCUCCAGCCUCUCUGGCUGUGGUGACCAGAUCCUCGAGACCCACCAGGUCCUAACGUGGUGACAUCUCUUGCUGGAUGUCCCCGGGUCGGGGGACAAGCCGGGGAAAUGAAAACGCCUGGGGCACUAGGAAGGCAGUUGGAUGGGGUUGUGUCAUGAUCUACUUUCCUUUUGCCUUGCAGCUGAACUGCAAGCUUCUGCCAUCGAUUCCUGUUGCACUCAGAGGACGGGAUGUCUGACCUGUCGUGUUGGUGGCAGAGGGUGACUGAUUGCCCAGGCCACUGCCAUAGCCACACGUGGUGUCUGGGGUAUCCUGGGUCUGUCAAGGGCUGAGGGAGCAGAUCGUGUGGAUGUCGGGUCCCUGUUGCAUUCUCCCUGCCUCUGCCGCGUUUGUCCUUUGGCACAGAGUGGGCUGCAAAGGAUUUUCCUCCUAAUCCCUCAAAAGCAGCUUUUUGCAGCUUCCCUGAUAGUGCUGGCAGGGGGUGUUGUUAUCUUAGGAGGAUGGAUGACUUCUGAUGGGUUUUCUGUUUCCUUUCAAUUAGCUGUAUUAGUAGCAGGGGAAGAAGGGGACAUAUCUCCUGGCUGGUUUCCCUGCGCUCAUGUUGCUGUGGUUACUGUUUUUUUUACAGAGGUACCUGGUGCCAAAGAGUUGCAAACACCACCAGCCAAAUGUGCCACCUGCAACGGCUAGCAAUUUAGGUAUAAUCUUCUCCGAUUUCCAGGAGGGUAGAGAGAGCCCAAGUGCUGCAGCAGGGGAGCAGCAGUGAGACUAGCAGGCUCUGCCGACUCCAGCUUUGUCUUCUGUGACUUUCUCUGGUUGCUGGCAGGAGUUGUGUCCUGGGCCGCGUCGCUCUGGAGCAGAGACCGAGUGUCAAGCCAACAAGGAAGCCGGGUGUGCGAGCUCUGCAGGGCUCCCCGAGAGCCUUCCCAUGCUUCUCUGGGCUCCCUUUGCAAUGCCACGCCAGUCCUGCACGGCCAGGGCCUUUAUCUAGUCAGCCAAGCCUGUUCUUGGCUCCUGCCACCGCCUACCAGUUGAGGGGAAUGCAGAGACCAGGGGGGCACGGAGCAGGUGGCCUUGUGUCCUCCUCCUCGUCAGCAUAAGGGUAACAGUCCCUUUGCUGGCCUCAAAUGUUCACAAGCAGCCGGUCCCUAGCACAGGUGAAGGAAGCACAGCAGCUUCCUUCCAAGUAGGUAGCGCCCCUGAGUCGAUGGCCAGCGCCGCGCUCCGCUCCUAGCAUUGCUCUCCCGACCGUCCCUGGCAGGAGUUCAGGGCCCAGGCCUCUGGGAAACGUUAGUGAGCCCGUGCUUAGGGCCAGGGUGGUGGCGGAGGGCAAUGUAGUCGAGAGCGGCAGGGGGAGAAGGGGAAGGUUGGCGGGUGAGCGGCCCCUCGCUGCGGCAGGGUCGGUGCCGCUUGGGCACUAGCCGCAGAACCCCAGUAAAGACCCGUUUCCGUCGGCUCAGCUGGCUGGUCGCAGACCGGUCUCUCUGCCGUGGCGGCAGUGGUUAUGAAAGCCCCUUAAAUCCCCCGCUGCUGCAGCCCCCCCGAUCACUUCUCUCUGCCGCUUCUGCCUCGCCUCUGACAACAGAUGUUCCUGGCAGGCGGCCCGCUUGCCUUGGGGGAGAGAUGCAUUCACCUGGCUCCUUCUCCCCGCAGCUCCGCCUCGCUAAUCCCCUGGCACAUUCCUCCUUGCAUGGGUUUUGAUAGCAUGGGGGCAGCCUGGGGCCACUGGCUUAUUCCUGCCAUGCUGUUUUCUUGUGGAGCCGGGCCAGCCCUUUCCCAAUGAGCCUUGCGGGCUCCGGGCUGUGUUGACUUACCCUGAAACAAACCCAUGAGACGAGGGUGUGUGCAUGUGUCUCGUUGCUCCAUCACCCGCUGGUUCGGGCACUAACCUGGGAUGCAGAGACCAGGGUUCAGCCCCUGGUCAGCCUGAUUCACAGCAGUGUUAUUCGGGCCGAACAGGCUCCCAUAACUGGUAUCUGGGCAAUGGGGAGGGGGAUCUCCUGGUUACUGCUUGACAUGACAGAUGAGCCCAAAGACAGGGAGACGAAUAGGCUGCCAACAGAGCCACUGAGCCAAAGCACUGAGAAAAAUAGCCCCAAACCUGAUGUGAAACUAUGCCGUGGGGUUGUGGUGGUGCUGGCUGUGCACGUGGGUACUCUGCUUCCACGUGCCCCUGGGGGUUUGCUCGGGUGAACGGGCACCGAGACGCAGCCAGCAGGCUAAAUGCCAGGGGCAGGGACAUGCCUUGUAGCCACAACUAGCACGGACCUCGGAAAAAUCUGCCGGAAAGCAGUCUUGUCCCAGAGCUGCUCUGCCCCCAGGAUUUAACGCGUAUUGGCUAUCUCCUUAUUUCGUGUCAGCGGGUCUCCACUUUCAACUCUUUGCUGCUGUUAGGAAGAGCCCCAGUGGCACUUCAAGAGCAGCCGAUGUUGGGACCUUCUUUCUAGGCUGCUUGGCUUUUGGAAAGGGAUGCAUGAGUGUGAAUGGAAAAGAAGUGCUUCUGGCAGAGAGAGGCAGCUGCAUUCGCGGCUCUGGUGUAUUUUUACGUCAUCCCUUUGCUUUGUGUGCAUCCGUCCUGUGCUUCGCACCUUUCUUGCCGGGGUUGAAAGGCUACUGGGCCACUACAGCUGCACCCGGUACCGAAUUGGAGCCAGCAUCAAAACUCUGCUCCGGGUUUCCUUGGCUCCUAAGGGUUGUGUGAAGAGUUCGCUCCAGGCGAGCGCAGAGAUCCUGUUCUCAUCCUCCCGGUGACUGAAGGCACUCGGCAGAGAGCGUUGCUUCCAGGGCCGUGCUGUUUUUUGCGGUCUGUGAAAACUGCCUGGCUGAGCCCCUGGGAUCCCGUUCCUCACUGCUGUCGAGUUGCCACACGCCUGGGCACAGGUGGCCGGUGCUUUGAAAAGGCGCCAUUGAAAGUCCUACAGAAAUGCAAAGCCGCAUAGUUUUCUUUUUAGUGCAGCUUGCUGGUCCAUUAACUGGAGCCCUCGAGGCCAUGACAAGCUGGCUGGCAUUUCCUGGGCAGGGCGGGUUAUUCUCUGCCCGUUUGGAGCUGUCUUGCACCGUCUCAGCACUUGGAAAAGACAUUCAGUGUCCAGCUGUGUCCAUGCAGCUGCAAAUGCUACUGCCUGUGCUACCGUAGUGCCUAGCAGCCCUCGCUGUGGGCAGGACACUGCCUGUCGAGCCCUGGGUGACCUAGAGCAGCGGUUCUCCGUCUCUGGGCCCUUCCUCCCAGCACCAGGCUGCUCUGUGCGUGCUGGUGAUGGCAGGGACAGCAGGGCAGUUGGCGCUGAGAACCAGGGUGUGCAGGGGAUGAAAGGCUGGGAACUACCGACCUGGAGCCUUAUUCACGCGGUGGCUGCAUCGCCCCAGCCUCGCGUUGGUAUUUUACCCUGUGCUGGGAAAGACCCCAGCUCUGCUGGCAUAGUCCGUCAGCCAGGCGUCGUCGUGGCUGUAUGCAAGCGGCUGAUGGAGAGGCCUUGCCCUUGUUCCUCAGCUCCUGGUGCAUGGGGUGGGGUGGCCGCGGGGGGACGAGUUGGGCACAGAGCUGUGAUUAGCACAAGCAGGCUCCCAAGCUCACCGGCCCAGCACUGCAAAUGGAUGCACAUGAUUAGCGCUGUGCUAAUCAUUAUUUUAUCAGUCCGGGUUGACUCCAAGUUAUUUUUUUACUGAUGCUUCGAGCCCCCGGGAUCCCGGCUCGGCACAGCCAUGCACAGUGAUGGUCCUUGCCACGUGGCCCUGCAGCUUUCCCAGCACCGAGGGACGUUCCUGACCAGGCGGAGGAGCUGGGAAGGGGCCUGCCUUUAACCCCACGCUAGAGGCUCGGUGGCGACGGGGGCUCCAGGGCAGCCCGUCCGGCCCUGGGUGCGGUGCGGGCUGCAGCGGGUUGCAUGCUGGGACUUACAGUGGCUGUUUCUGAGGCUGGAAUGAACAAACUGGCUGUGCUGAAAGCUCCCUCUUCUCCCCGAUCUGCUCAGCUGACAGACGAGAGUUCGCAGCUGGGGGUGGGCAGUCGCGCUGUCCUCUGUGUCCCCCGAGGCAGAGGUGAGGCCUGCUCCGAGUCGGCCUUGGAGAAGAACAGCCCUUUGCAGCAAAUGCGAGCUCUCCGCUGGUGUUCACGGAUGAAUGCAAAUCCAAGGCCCAGAAACGAGGGUCCAGCCAGCUGGGACAUCUUCACCGCUGCUCCCCCCAUGUCCUGCAAUAGCACAAACUCAUGGACUCACACCGGGGACUCGGUGGCUUAGGCUCAUCCCCACUGAUUUUGCCCCAUGCUGUGCUGAAAAGUGGCAAGCCAGACGGCACGAGUUCAGUCGGUUCAGACCGGUGUUCACCCAGGGGACGUUCGCCCCCGCUUGCCCAUUGUUGGAUGCCGGCAGUCGUGGCCUUUUAGCAGCUCUGAGCGCUGAGGUUACGCGUGCAAAGGGGAGGUUGGGAAAAAGACAAUUUCUGAAGCUAAUUAUUUUUGCUGGGCAGCUCAUUACGUGAAGUAGAGCCUGGGUAACGGUGCGGUGGGGAUUAUUAAUGACCCUCUACCUGCUCUGGAGAAAGUUUUACAACUGAAGUCAUGCAGCGGGGGCAGAGGAGGGUGCAGCCGCUUCACGUGUUGCCUGAAAUAGGAGCUUUGGGGGGGGUUUCCCCCUUCAAGGGCGUUUAAAGGUUUUGCCGUGAAGCACCGAGCCGCGGCAAGAGCUCCAAGCCAGGAGGGGCAGGAGGAGCUGGGUAGCAGGAGCCGGACCGCCCUGUAGCAUAGACUCUGACCUCUGCAUUGGCCAAGGAGGCUUCCAGCAGUGGUGGUCGUGGUGGCUUACGUGAGAUGGACACGUGGCAAGAGGGAACAGGGCGCAGUCCCUGUCUGCAAUGACCAGCGAGUAGAUGUGCCCCUAGUACGGGGCAGCAGCUCACGUACAUUGUAAAGCACGUAGCGUUUCCCCCCAAGCUGCCUCUGUCCUGCCCCUCAACUGAUCACUCAACCCAUCUUCUCCCAGCUGCCCCUGGACCACCCGGGUGUAGCUCGGGAUGCUCUGGACAGGAUACCCGGCGGGCAGGCAGCUCGGAGAAGUGUUGCAUGUGCCCCUCCCCUCCCGUCUGCCUUUGCUCGGUGCCCAGCGUUUCCUGCUAUCCCUUGGAAGUCGGGAAACGAGAGGAAUAGGAAAUGAAGCAGGGAGACUGGGCAAGGAGCAAACGUUUUCCCUCAUCCUGCAGACACAAAGCAGGCGUCUGCAGGUCCCUGGAUGCUGGCGUGCGAGCGCCGAGGGCAGCAGGUUUGCUGGGGUGAGAGUAUGGCUCGAGGGAGAUGCCCCGUGAUAAAACCUCCCUCGAGAGAGGGCUCGGGAUCCGGUUAGGCCCGUGCACGUUCCUGCUGAAGUCCAGGGACGGCGCAGACACCGCUGGCCCUGGAAGCAGCUCAGGAAUGUGUCACAGCGCAGGCUUUUCUUGCUGUGAAAGAUGAAGCGCUGCACACCCCGGGGUCCUUCCCGCAUGUAAUUACUGCUCGGAAACGGGCCCUGACAUCCUUUCGCUGCCCGGCUCCGGUUCCCCACGGGGACCAGGUCUCCAGAGUGCCGUAAAUCAGGAAUGAAACUCUCAGCUGUAACCGUGUUUGUGAUUCAGAGGUAACUUCCUUCUCCGAGGAGCAAGAGCUCAGCCUGCUUCUAGGGACAAAAACCCAGGCGUCCCGGCCGCGGCGCGCGGGGCUGUGAGCAGAGCAGAUAGCAGCGGUGAGGCUGAACGAGAAGCUAGGGAAUUCCUGGGUCUAUUGGAAAAUGUCCUUGGGGAUGCAGUACAUUGGCAGAUUUGUCACGGUACUUUAGAAAAUGUAAACUGCCUGCCGACCCGCUUUGUUCUUGAUAGCAUGCUUGCACAUAGCUCGUCCCCGAGGGAGCAGCAGAUGAUCCAGGACUGGUAGGCCUUUUCCAUCACUGUCUUCCUGGCUUCGGAGUAAAUAAAGGGAUUUACAGUGAGGGUGACUGAAUGAAGCUGAGCAUUCAUUUUUUUCCCUUUUAAACGAAGCUUUUCCCGAAGUGAGAUCGCUACAUCUGUUGCAAAUUGGACUAAUAAGGUAUUGCCAAUGAGGCAUUCCAGCUUGUUCAUUAGCGUUACACGUCUUGCUUUCCUCUUUCUGUGACACGCCGCUGUGCCGUUACUUAACGAACGGUUUCAAUAAGACUCAGCCUACCGAACGGCAAAGGAGAGUCCGAGAUGUUCAAAGAAGGGGUCUUCUGUCGUGACGCUCAGGGCUGCUGCUGUUGUGCGCGGCUAAAUAAACUGACUGGCCCUUGACACGAGAUGCCCGGAGGCUCGGCCCUGCUCCCUGCCUCUCUGCUCUUCGUCUAGUCACUCUCCUCCGGCGGGGCUGGCGGGCCGGCCCUGCCGUCACUGCCCAGAUGCCUCCCACGCAAGACAUGACCCCGACGGGUGGCACCGCUUGGAGACCUGCCUACGUGCAGCUGAGAUGGGCACGUUCGCCAUGGCUAGGGCCGUGCUUGUGCCGCUCGACUCAUCCAUGCAGCAAAGCUCCCUGCGGUCUCCCAUGACCAGGGGCUGAAGUCUGCCUUGUAUGUGCCUGUGCUGCCCGUUUGCCGCCCGCCUCGGGCUGAUGCUGCAGGAGAACACGCCUGGCCCUUAGCGCAACGCAGAACCGCCGCGGCGCCGGCGGGAGGAGUGCCCGGCGCGGGCAAGGACGGAGGCAGGAGCUCCCCGGGUGCAGCGAGCAGAACUUGCCCUGCAAUGAGGUGGCCGUCCGGCCGUCCGGGGGCUCAUCCAUCCCCUCUGAUGCCCAGGCCUGCUCCCAUGCCUUGCGUGGCCCAGCUCCAGAGGAAGUCUGCCCUGGUGCAUGGGGAAGGCUCAUCCUGAUAGCAUCUCAUUUCUCAGUGUAGAGAUAUGUCCCUCUAUGAAGAGUACACGCGA